rnacentral:rRNA from 1 species
GACGAACGCUGGCGGCGUGCCUAACACAUGCAAGUCUACUCAGCAAUGGGUGGCGAACGGGUGAGUAACGCGUAGAUAAUCUACCCUUUAAUCAUGGAUAACCUAGUGAAAACUGGACUAAUACAGGAUGUGAUCUUAGACCGGCAUCGGUUUGGGAUUAAAGACUACGGGUCGUUAAAGGAUGAGUCUGCGUAUCAUUAGCUAGUUGGCGGGGUAACGGCCCACCAAGGCUACGAUGAUUAGCUGGUCUGAGAGGAUGAUCAGCCACACUGGGACUGAGAUACGGCCCAGACUCCUACGGGAGGCAGCAGUGAGGAAUAUUGCGCAAUGGGGGAAACCCUGACGCAGCAACGCCGCGUGUACGACGAAUCAGUUUAUCUGUGUAAAGUACUGUUAACCGGGACGAAAAGACGUAUGAUCUACGUUUAUAU